UUGAAGACCUUUGUUUUACUUUCAGAUAUAUUUUUCUGCUAUCAAAUAUUUUCAAUGCUUUCUUUGCAGUCCAAAAGCCAGUUGUGUUCCUACACCGUGGCGUGCUUGUGACUGCCAAUCUUCCAAGCAAUAGCCUAGGCUUCCCUGGCAGAUGCUGGUUAUGAUGUGUGGAUGGGGAACGACAGAGGACUACCUGGUCCAGGAAACACUUAUACCUAGAUCCAGAUUCUAAAGAAUUCUGGGCUUGCAGAUCCUGUUUGGUGAAAAAGAAUUUUUACCCAGCACAUAUAUUAGCAAGUUCAUUGGUCAGAAUGUGUGCAACCAUGUGGUAACUGAUGUGUGUAGCAAAUAAACUAUAUUGUUCUUUGGAAAUGAUCCCCCA
rnacentral:lncRNA from 1 species